CGUCGUUAAGGCUAAUCUGGUGCUGGCUAAAGCUAAAACUGGCGAGUGUAGAGAGUAUAGAGAUAUUGUUAUCCACGUCGGCACCAACGAUGUUAGGAUGAAACAGUCAGAGGUCACCAAAAUUCAUUAAAAAUCCUACAAUGUGAUUUUCUGGAUUUUUUUUCUCAUUUUGUCUGUCAUAGUUGAAGUGUACCUAUGAUGAAAAUUACAGGCCUCUCUCAUCUUUUUAAGUGGGAGAACUUGCACAAUUGGUGGCUGACUAAAUACUUUUUUGCCCCACUAAGUAUUUGAUACAUCAGAAAAGCAGAACUUAAUAUUUGGUACAGAAACCUUUGUUUGCAGUUACAGAGAUCAUACAUUUCCUGUAGUUCUUGACCUCGUUUGCAUACACUGCAGCAGGGAUUUUGGCCCACUCCUCCAUACAGACCUUCUCCAGAUCCUUCAGGUUUCGGGGCUGUCGCUGGGCAAUACAGACUUUCAGCUCCCCUCCAAAGAUUUUCUAUUGGGUUCAGGUCUGGAGACUGGCUAGGCCACUCCAGGACCUUGAGAUGCUUCUUACAGAGCCACUCCUUAGUUGCCCUGGCGGUGUGUUUCGGGUAGUUGUCAUGCUGGAAGACCCAGCCACGACCCAUCUUCAAUGCUCUUACUGAGGGAAGGAGGUUGUUGGCCAAGAUCGCGUGAUGCAUGGCCCCAUCCAUUCUCCCUUCAAUACGGUGCAGUCAUCCUGUCCCCUUUGCAGAAAAGCAUCCACAAAGAAUGAUGUUUCCACCUCCAUGCCUCACGGUUGGCAUGGUGUUCAUGGGGAUGUACACAACUUUCUUCUUCGCUCCAACCACGGCAAGUGGAGUUUAGACCAAAAAGCUCUAUUUUUGUCUCAUCAGACCACAUGACCUUCUCCCAUUCGUCACCUGGAUAAUCCAGAUGGUCAUUGGCAAACUUCAGACGGGCCUGGACAUGUGCUGGCUUGAGCAGGGGGACCUUGCGUGCGCUGCAGGAUUUUAAUCCAUGACGGCGUAGUGUGUUACUAAUGGUUUUCUUUGAAACUGGUCCCAGCUCUCUUCAGGUCAUUGACCAGGUCCUGCCGUGUAGUGCUGGGCUGAUCCCUCACCUUCCUCCUGAUCAUUGAUGCCCCAUCGAGGUUCUCAUCCACAUCACAAUGGAUGUUUUCAUUAGCCAAACAUCUUGGGAAGAAUCUUCGGGCGAAUCCAGGCCUGACACUGGUCUGCCGCCGACAGAGAUGAACUGGCGCCGACAGCAUCAAAGCUGGGACCGAGAGACUGAAAAACAGCUUCUAUCUCAAGGCCAUCAGACUGUUAAACAGCCACCACUAACAUUGAGUGGCUACUGCCAACACACUGUCAAUGACACUGACUCUACUCCAGCCACUUUAAUCAUGGGAAUUGAUGGGAAAUGAUGUAAAUAUAUCACUAGCCACUUUAAACAAUGCUACCUUAUAUAAUGUUACUUACCCUACAUUGUUCAUCUCAUAUGCAUACGUUGAUACUGUACUCUAUAUCAUCGACUGCAUCCUGAUGUAAUACAUGUAUCACUAGCCACUUUAACUAUGCCACUUGGUUUACAUACUUAUCUCAUAUGUAUAUACUGUACUCGAUAUCAUCUACUGUAUCUUGCCUAUGCUGCUCUGUACCAUCACUCAUUCAUAUAUCCUUAUGUACAUAUUCUUUAUCCCCUUACACUGUGUAUAAGACAGUAGUUUUUUUUGGAAUUGUUAGUUAGAUUACUUGCUCGUUAUUACUGCAUUGUCGGAACUAGAA
ensembl:lncRNA